rnacentral:rRNA from 1 species
UACGAAAGGGGCUAGCGUUGUUCGGAAUCACUGGGCGUAAAGCGCACGCAGGCGGAUCGAUAAGUCGGGGGUGAAAGCCCGGGGCUCAACCUCGGAAUUGCCUUCGAUACUGUCGGUCUCGAGUCCGGGAGAGGUGAGUGGAAUUCCUAAUGUAGAGGUGAAAUUCGUAGAUAUUAGGAAGAACACCAGUGGCGAAGGCGGCUCACUGGCCCGGUACUGACGCUCAGGUGCGAAAGCGUGGGGAGAAAACAGG